rnacentral:rRNA from 1 species
UCCGGUGGCAAUAGCGAGGGGGUCACACCCGUUCCCAUCCCGAACACGGAAGUUAAGCCCCUCUGCGCCGAUGGUACUGCAUCUCGUCAGGUGUGGGAGAGUAGGACGCCGCCGGAU